GGAUUGUGGCUCAGGGGUAGAGCGCUUGCCUCACAUGUGCGAGACCUUGGGUUCGAUCCUCAGCACCA
rnacentral:tRNA from 1 species